AUGCUUAACACAUGCAAGUCGAACGAGAAAGCAUCUUCGGAUGUGAGUAGAGUGGCGCACGGGUGAGUAACGCGUAGGUAACCUGCCCGUUUAGCCGGGGAGUAACACAGAGAAAUUUGUGCUAAUACCGCAUAAUCAAUACGACAUGGGAAAAGUAUUGGAAAGAAUGCUUCGGCAGUUUACUGAAGGAUGGGCCUGCGUUGCAUUAGCUUGUUGGUGGGGUAAUGGCCUACCAAGGCGACGAUGCAUAGCUGGUCUGAGAGGAUGAUCAGCCACACUGGAACUGAGACACGGUCCAGACUCCUACGGGAGGCAGCAGUGGGGAAUAUUGCGCAAUGGGGGAAACCCUGACGCAGCAAUGCCGCGUGAGUGAGGAAGGCCCUCGGGUUGUAAAGCUCUGUCAGAUAGGAAGAAACCCUCUUGGUCUAAUAGGCCUUGAGCUUGACGGUACUAUCAAAGGAAGCACCGGCUAACUUCGUG
rnacentral:rRNA from 1 species